rnacentral:rRNA from 1 species
CCUACGGGUGGCUGCAGUGGGGAAUAUUGGACAAUGGGCGAAAGCCUGAUCCAGCCAUGCCGCGUGUGUGAAGAAGGCCUUCGGGUUGUAAAGCACUUUCAGUGGGGAAGAAAGCCUUGGGGCUAAUACCCUCGAGGAAGGACAUCACCCACAGAAGAAGCACCGGCUAACUCCGUGCCAGCAGCCGCGGUAAUACGGAGGGUGCGAGCGUUAAUCGGAAUUACUGGGCGUAAAGCGCGCGUAGGCGGUCUGAUAAGCCGGUUGUGAAAGCCCCGGGCUCAACCUGGGAACGGCAUCCGGAACUGUCAGGCUAGAGUGCAGGAGGGGAAGGUAGAAUUCCCGGUGUAGCGGUGAAAUGCGUAGAGAUCGGGAGGAAUACCAGUGGCGAAGGCGGCCUUCUGGACUGACACUGACGCUGAGGUGCGAAAGCGUGGGUAGCAAACAGGAUUAGAUACCCGAGUAGU